ACUGAAAUUGAAACUGGAGCUUUUCCACGUUUAAGAUAUCUUUGUUUUUAUUGCUGUCCAAGCUUGAUGUUUCUUCCUGAAGGGUUGCAGAACAUUUCCACACUUCAAGAUCUGUGUUUCUUCCCCUGGAAUCCAGACCUUAAAAGGCGAUUGAAGGGUGAAGAGAAUUACAAGAUCAAGCAUGUCCGAGUAUUUGGGAAGGUUUGAGAACCGUUGAUUUUCCAACCAAGAAAUGGAAAAACAUCAACCACAAUAGUUUCCAGAGGAAGUUUUUCGAGGAUGAAAUGCUUUUGCUUUACUCCUCAAAUAUCAUCUCCUGCUUUCUGUUCAUUUACUUCAAUAUUCUGGUGAUGUGUGCUAUCCUCUACUGUCUUGUAUACCUAAAUUUGUGCAAUCUCCAGCGGAGAAACCAGUGUCCUAGACUCCAAAAAAUCUAUCUUGAUGAUGAACGAUGUGUUUAUCUAUUUGCAUUUCCUUAAUAUCUGGAUUAUUAUCUAAUUAUUCUAUAGAAUUGCCCUUCUUCUAGAUUUCUCUCUAAGGAUUGAAUCAUUAGAAAAUCAAGGUUUUUUAUUCCUGUUUUUUUCGCUUGAAGUGGACUUGCUAGGUAAGAAACACGUCUAUUAUAUUGGCAGCAGUUCAUAUAAAUUAUACAUCCCAUUCCGUGUUUACAUAGAAUCAAAGGCGUAACAAAUAUUGUUUAUGCCUUUUAUUUUAUUCAAUUAAUUAAUUUUAUAUAUGUUUAUUUUUUUAUUAUUUAUUUAAAUAAAAUAUUAAUUUUUGUGAACAGAUUGUCUUGAAGAUCCAAGUUGCAAGAUCAAAUAUCUUGGUCUAUAUGCGACUUUUAACUUUUUAAUUUUUAUUUUUAUUUAUCAGUAAUGAUUAUUUAUUUAUUUAUUAACAUAUGUAUUUUUUAAUUUAUUUUAUUAGAUGUAUAAAUAAGUUUUUUUUAAUUUUGAUUAAAAACAAAACAUUGAAAAAAUCUACAUAUUUAUUUUUUUAUAAAAACCUCAAAGUUAAAUAGCUAUUAAAAACUAGCCGCCAUUGUAGGGUUUGAUAGAAAAGAUAUUGGGCUGGUAUAUCAUAUUAUUACUGUUAUUAACUAUUACCACUAUAUACUAAAAAAUAACAACAGUGCAUUAUUGUGCUCAAUUUGGACAGGACUUUUCAAGAACAAUGUUGUUUUUUUUUUUUUCAUUUUGAUCAUCAAAUAUUAUUAUGAUUAUCAGUAUUAUUGUUAUAUUCUUGCAAGUUAAAUUUAAAUUUACUAUUUUUUUAUAAGUUUAAUUUAUGCAUAUAUGAUCCCCAUAGUCUAAGAAUUAUAAGUUUCAAUCCUAGAUUUAUUUAUUUAUUUAUUUUAGUCUUCGAGUAUUGAAAGAUGUUAGAAAAAAAAAAAAAAAAGUCAGUUGAUCACGUUCUUGUUAUCAAAAAAACCAAUCUUGUUAUCAAUGAAUUUGUCUUACAAAUAUAAGUUCUAUGAAGAAGGUUUAGAACUUUUAUCCUGUUAAAAACACAUAUCAAGACUUAGAAAGUUUUUUUAUUUAUUUAUUUGGUUUGAUUUUAGAUUUUAGACAGAUUAAAUGGUGUUUUGGAGUUAACAUGAGUUUAAUUAGGUUCUUAAAAUGUUUCUUUUUUAAUGUUUUGAGAUAAAAAAUAAAUUGAAAAAUAAUAUUUGAAGCUGCAAAACUCAUACUUUAAAUUCAAAUCAUCAAAAUGGUAAAAAUUCAAACUAGAAUGUGGCACCCAUUGUUUCUUAUUAAAAAAGGAAUAUUAGAAAAAAUAAAGCAUGGAAUAAAAGUUUUUUUUUAUGGUAAAAUGAACCAUUACUUUGAAUUAUGAUAUAAGAAGGUAAUAUGCAAUUGUUUUUUUUUAAAAAAAUGUUCAUAAAUAUUAAAUGAGAAUGAAACUAUUUUGUUAUGUUUUAUUGCAUAAUGUUUACAGAAUUUUGAUGAUUAAUUAUUCUUUAUGUUUUUCUUCUGUUGUGUACAAAUUAUUGAUUCAUGAUUUUUUAUAUUUGUAAUGAAAAUUGCUUUUCAAAUCAUGAUAAAUCUUUAUUUAAAAAACAAUACUUUUAUUAAAAAACAUGGUUUUUGAAAACCAAGAAGAAAUACAUGAAUAAUAAAAGUGAUUUUUAAUUGAAAACGAUAUAUAUUUUUCUUUUUUAAUUCAAAUCAUUAAUAUUUUUAUAAAUAAAUAUUUUAAUUAUUUGUAGUUUUUAUUCAAAAACAUGCUACUAAUUAAAAAAAAAAACAUGUUCUUGUCAUACAAAAAUACAUGAAUAAGAAAUGAAAAACUCACUUAACAUAAUUUUUACACGACUAUUUGUUUUUCUCUCCACGGAAUCGGUUGGAAGUGGACUUGACAGUUAAGAAACACGUCUAUUAGAUUGGCAACAGUUCAUAUAAAUUAUACAUCCCAUUCCGUGUUUACAUAGAAUCAAAGGCGUAGCAAAUAUUGUUUUGGCCUUUUAUUUUAUUUAAUUAAUUAAUUUUAUAUAUGUUUAUUUUUGUAUUAUUUAUUUAAAUAAAAAAUUAAUCUUUGUGCAUAGAGUUAUUAAACACGAUUGUCUUGAAGAUCCAAGUUACAAGAUUAAAUAUUUUAUCUAUAUGUGAAUUUUAACUUUUUAAUUUUUAUUUUUAUUUAUCGUUAAUGAUCAUUUAUUUAUUAACAUAUGCAUUUCUCAAUUUAUUUUAUUAUAUGUAUAAAUAAGUUUUUUUUUUAAUUUUGAUUUAAAAAAAACAUUGAAAAAAUCUACAUAUUUAUUUUUUUAUAAAAAAAUUCCAACUCUAAAUCAAAUAGCUAUUAAAAACUAACCAAUGUAGGUUUGAUAUAGAGGAUAUUGGGCUGGUAUAUCAUAUUAUUACUGUUACACCAUUAAAUAGUUUUACCGACGGUUUAAGUUCGUCGGUGUGAGGCACAAAAACCAUCGGUAAUAUUUUUACCGACGGGCUCAUCGACAAAACACGUUAGUUGAAAUUUUAAUUGUUGGUAAUUUUUCUUUUCAUCACUAAUUCUAUUAAUAAUUAAAAAAAACCAAAUAUCGACGAGACAACAGUAUAUUAUUGUAAAAACUAGCCACUAUAGCUUAGAUUGAGAGGAUAGUGGGCUGAUAUAUCAUAUUGUUACUCUUAUUAACUAUUACCACUGUAUACUUAAAAAAAAUAAAAAUGUACAUUGUUGUGCUAAAUUUGGAUAGGAAUUUUAAAGAAUGGUGUUGUUUUCUUUCAUUUUUAUCAUCAAAUAUCAUUAUGAUUAUAAUUAUAAUUAUUAUUAUUGUUAUAUUCUUGCAAGUUAAAUUUGAAUUCGCUUCUUUUUAUUUAUAAGUGUAAUUUAUGCAUAUAUGAUCCCUAUAACUUUAGAAUUAUAAGUUUCAAUCAUAGACUUAUUUAUUUAUUUAUUUAUUUCAAUCUCGGAGUGUUGAGAGAUGUUAAGAAAAUAGAAAAGAAAGAAAGAAAUUCAGUCAGUCACAUUAUGGUUAUGAAAAAAGCCAAUCUUGUUAUCAAUGAAUUUGUCUUCCAAAUAUGAGUUCUAUGAAGAUGGUUUAGAAUUUUAAUCUUGUUAAAAACAGCGAUCGAGAUUUAGAAAGUUUUUUUUAUUUGGUUUGAUUUUAGAUAUUUAGACGGAUUAAAUGGUGUUUUGGAGUUAAAAUGAAUUUAAUUAAGUUCUUAAAAUGUUUUUUUUUUUAAUGUUUUGAGAUAGAAAUAAAUUGAAAAAUAGUAUUUGAAGUUGCAAAACUCAUACUUUAAAUUCAAAUCAUCAAAAUGGUAAAAAUUCAAACUAGAAUGUGGCACCCAUUGUUUCUUAUUAAAAAAGGAAUAUUAGAAAAAAUAAAGCAUGGAAUAAAAGCUUUUUUAUGGUAAAAUGAACCAUUACUUUGAAUUAUGAUAUAAGAAGGUAAUAUACAAUUGUUUUUUUUUAAAUGUUCAUAAAUAUUAAAUGAGAAUGAAACUAUUUUGUUAUUUUUUAUUGUAUAAUUUUUACAGAAUUUUGAUGAUUAAUUAUUCUUUUAUGUUUUUCUUCUGUUGUGUACAAAUUAUUGAUUCAUGAUUUUUAUAUAUUUUUUAAUGAAAAUUGCUUUUAUUAUUCAUGUAUUUCUUCUUGGUUUUCAAAAAACAUGUUACUAUAUAUUUUGUUAUUUUUUAUUGUAUAAUUUUUACAGAAUUUUGAUGCUUAAUUAUUCUUUUAUGUUUUUCUUCUGUUGUGUACAAAUUAUUGAUUCAUGAUUUUUAUAUUUUUUUUGAAUGAAAAUUGCUUUUCAAAUCAUGAUAAAUAUUUAUUUUAAAAACAAUACUUCUAUUAAAAAAACAUGUUUUUUGAAAACCAAGAAGAAAUACAUGAAUAAUAAAAGCAAUUUUUAAUUGAAAACGCUAUAUAUUUUUAUUUUUUAAUUCAAAUCAUUAAUAUUUUUAUGAAUAAAUAUUUUAAUUAUUUGUAGUUUUUAUUCAAAAACAUGCUACUAAUUAAAAAAAAACUUGUUCUUGUCAAACAAAAAUACAUGAAUAAGAAAUGAAGAACUCACAUAACAUAAUAUUUUUUUCUCUCCGCAAUUUAAAUCAUUGUAUAUUUUUUUUAAUAAAUAUUAAUUUUAAUUACCACAAAACUAAAUGAAAACAGAUUUUGAAAACCGCCACACAAGGGAAAAAAUUAGUAAAUAUAUUAAAAGAGCUAGACUUUUUAUUGUAACUCUGAUAUUGUUCAAAUAGAAAUAAAACAUCGUGGAUUACUCCGUGGAAAAACACUGCAAUCUCUAUUGUUGACCUACAAAUAAAAAAAUAUUGAUUUUAUGCUCUAGUCCCUAAAGCUUUUAAUUUUUAGUCAUUUUAAUUUAAAGUCUCUUAGUUUUUGUCUUCAAACUUCAUUUUUAUAAUAUUUCAGUUUUUAUAUUCCGAGAAAAGAGAGAGAAAUUUUUCACUCAUCCAUAUUUAUCCGACAAAAAAAUCAAUCUUAAUAUCAAUAAAUUCAUUUUAGAUUGGGAAGGUCAAUAAAAAUGCUUUUGCUCUUUAACCAUACCAAAAAAUAGAUUGAAGCAUUUUAUUAUAGCUUUGGUAUUGUUCAAGCAUUGAUAAAACCUAUGAAAUCUCUAUUGUCCAGUAAGAAAUAAAACACUGUUCAUUUUACACUUUGAUCAUUGGAGUUUUCAAUUUUUUUUCAUAUUUAAUCCAUGUAGUUUUUAUUUUGUUCAUUUUAGUCUUGGAACUUUAUUUUCACCACAUUUUUGUUCCUAGAUUCUAAGAGAGGAGAAGGAAAAUAGUUAAAAAACAAAGAAGAUAAAUAUUUUAGCUAGCCAUAAAAGAGACUAAUGUUGGUGUUAAUGAGUUAAUUUUAGAAAGAUAAAAUUAAUGGAUGUGGUAUUUCUCCUUUAACCAUGAUGGAAAAAGUAAAUUGAGGCCUGAAAUUUUUUUUUUCCUUCUUGAUUUAUGAUUUUUUAAGUGAUUAAAUAAUAUUUUGGGAUUGUAAAUGAAGUUACCAAGGUUCAUAAUAUUUAUUUUUAAUUGUUUUUAGAUGAAAAGAAGUUGAAGUUUUGAUUUUAAGGGUCCAAAUAUCUCAGAAUCUUCUAGUACUCGAAAAUUGUACCGGUAGAUAACACGUAGUCUAACCAAGCAGAUAAUGUGUUGUCUAUUUAAUUAUUUUUUUAUAUAAAAAAAUAGGUUAGACUACAUGUAUUCUGCCCUUCCUUCCAGACUUAGGUGUGAUGGCUCUUCACCUUUUGUUUUUUUCUUACAUUUUUUAUUUUUUUAAUAAAAUUAUCUUUAAAUAAAAUUAUUAAAAUUAUUUUUGAUUGAUGAGUUUAAGUAUUGAAAUUGAAAGGACAAAGAGAGAGCCAAACUUAGAAAAUAGAUGUUGGUGCAGUCUAAACUGGAACACUGUUCGGUAAUUGGGUCAUAUCUCGAGUUCCAGGUGUCCAAAUGACCUUAACUUUUUGAAAAUAUUUGGUAAGACAUAGGUCUAUAACUUUCAUGUGGAGUCCAAGAUUUAAAAAAGUCGUUUUUAAGUCCAAAUUAUAGCAACAACGGAGAAGUCCGAAUCUGUCCUGUAGCUCAGACAUUGUUCAGUGUUGAACCCAUAUCUCGAGUUCUAGAAGUCCAAAUGACCUCAAUUUUUUUUCCUGGAAAGAUAAGACAAUUUCCUAUAACUUUUGUACGUACAGGUGGUUCUAGUUCUGAUGCUAACAAUGACGUUUUAUUUAGACAAGAAGAUAAGAGUUUUCACCAAGUCAAGAGUUGGCCACCCACUUAACAAUUAGUCAUCAAAUCAAUAGUUUCAAAUUUUGGCCUAUAAAAAAAGGCAUUUGCCAUGUAUUUAGGGGCUUGGUUGUUCAUAUCAAGAACUUGUUCUUGCUCUCUUUUUUUAUAUUUGUUUUUAUAAUUAUUAAGUUUUACUUUCAUUAGUAUUUGUUUAUGCUUUUCAUUUUCUUUCCUUUACUUAGUUAAUUUGUAUCUUAUUUAUGUUCUUGUUUUGUUUAUUUAUGUUUCUCUUCUUCAUUAUGUUUAGUUAAGUUUAUUAUGUCAAGGUGAAAAAGUUACACUAAUGGUGUAAGAAUAAGUAUAGUGUAAACUCAACAUGGACCUUAAUGUUUAAUAUUAACAUGUCUUAUCUUUUUAUCUCACUAAUUCUUAAUACCUGCUUGUUAAAUGGUUAAUCUAGAUUUGUGUUGUACAAUACUUGGUACAACAAAUGUUUGACACUCUCAUAGCCUAACCGUAUGGUAUUAUGGUAUUACCUAUACCUAUGUUGUGCAAGGAACUUGAUUUGUUGUUAACAUAAGUUAGCAUCAUGAAUUCCUGAAAAUAUUUAAAAGUUUGGUAUUACUUAAAUAAGAUAAUUAAUAUAAUCAUGUUAAUAAUUUAUAAUAAGCUAUUAAUGAUAAAUCAUCCGAUUGGAACCUCUUUUGUGUGUGGUUUCUAGUUGAAUAAUAAGAGUUUAUAGUAUACUUGUUUGAAAUACCAUUAGUGGAUCCUCUAACGUUGACAUUUGUUUUUAUCAUUGUUUAAUCUUUAUAUUAAUCUUUCAUCUCAAAGUUCUCAUCAACUUUUUCUUCAUCUUCUUUAUUAUUAUUAUUGUUGUUGUUGUUGUUGUUGUUAUUGUUAUUGUUGUUGUUGUUGUUGUUGUUGUCGUUGAUGUUGUUAUAUUAUUGUUGUCUAUAAUUUAUACAAUUAACCUCCCUGUGGUUUGACCCCGUCUUGCCUGGUUAUUUAUUACUUCGACACUCUUACACUUAGAAGAAAACAUCAAUCUUUUGGUCGUGUCAAAUUGCACUAUAAGAUAGCGAUGUGUUUUUUUUUAUAUUGUUCCUUAAGAACAAAAAAGUUUAUUUUGGUACCUAUAUUUUUGAAGUUUUACAUAUUUUUUUGGUAAUGCAUUUUUACAUACUUUAGGUGCGCUCGAGCUUGAUUUUUUUUGUCCGUCACCUUUUUUCUUCUCUUUUCAAUCAAUAUUUUUGUCUUAAAAGAAAACAAAAUAAAAUUCUAUUCUAAAUAAAAUUAUUGAUAUGAUAUUAAAAACAUUAUCAUGCUGUGCUAUAAUUUUUAAAUAAAAUUAUAGUUUUUAUGGUAAUAUUAAUAAUUGUUUUAUAAAUGAUAAACAUCAACAACAACUGCAAAUUAAAUUAAUUUUGUCUUAAUGAUAAUUUUUUAAACUCAUAAAAUCGUAGCUAAUGGAGUGAUUGUUGGAGAGGUUUAUAUUUUUUAUUACAAAACUAAUAAAUCUAAAAAGGAUGAAUUAUUUUGUGUAAGAAUUUUUAGGCCUAGAAAAAUGGGAUUUGUGCUUGUGAUAAUUAUCUAGUAUUGGAGAUGAAAAGAAAGAACCAAAAUUUUAAAGGAAUAAAUAUAAUGAUAUUUUGAUUUGCAGUGUGGUAAUAAAUAGGAGCAACAUGGGAUCAUUCCUUUCAAAGCCAAAAAGAGGAAUUUAUUGAAGGGGAAAUAAGAAAUAUUUUGUUAUUCUUAAGAGGGGAUUCUUUCUUUUAAUUGUUGGUGUUCCUGUGAUUUCUUAUAUUUAGAUGUGAUUUAUUAAUAAUAAUAAAUAAAAAUAAUAAGAAAUAGAAAGAAAUUCAUCGUCUGGAUCGUAUAUCAACAUCCAAUUAUUAAAAAAAAAUGAAAAAAGAAAAGGUUCCAUCACAACUCAUAUAGAUACAAAUAGUGGAAGCAAGAAUAUUUGACAUAUUUCAUUUUUAAGCAGAAACUUGAUUUUUCUUCCUGAAGGGUUGCAGAACAUUUCCACACUUCAAGAUCUGCGUUUCCGCCCCUGGAAUCCAGACCUUAAAAGGCGAUUGAUGGGUGAAGAGAAUUACAAGAUCAAGCACGUCCCAAAUAUUUGGAUGGUUUGAGAAUCGUUGAUUUUCCAACCAAGAAAUGGAAAAACAUUAACCACAAUAGUUUCCACAGGAAGUCUUUCAAGGAUGAAAUGCUUUUGCUUUACUCCUCAAAUAUCAUCUCCUGCUUUCUGUUCAUUUACUUCAAUAUUCUGGUGAAGUAUGCUAUCCUCUACUGUCUUGUAUACCUAAAUUUGUGCAAUCUCCAGCGGAGAAACCAGUGUACUAGACUUCAAAAAAUCCAUCUUAAUGAUGAACGAUGUGUUUAUCUAUUUGCAUUUCCUUAAUAUCUGGAUUAUUAUCUAAUUAUUCUAUAGAAUUGCCCUUCUUGUAGAUUUCUUAAGGAUUGAAUCCUUAGAAAAUCAAGGAGACAGAUCUGUCUUUCGGGUUACCAGUGAAAAUUUAUUCUUGUUUUUUUCGUUUGGAAGUGGACUUGCUAGAUAAGAAACACGUCUAUUAUAUUGACAACAGUUCAUAUAAAUUAUACAUCCCAUUCCGUGUUUACAUAGAAUCAAAGGCGUAGCAGAUAUUGUGUCUACAUCGCAUUAAAAUUUGAAUAAACCAUCGGAUGCACGAGUAUGAACUACCCUGUAUCCCUAGUUAGCCUAGAUGCUACUGUGUCCUCUUAAUGUUCUCUAAUACAGGCGUGAUAAGAACAUUUUAUUUGAUGAUAGAGCUUUCUUCUCGUCCCAUGUAUCAAGUCACUACAUUUCCAUUGGUAUUGUCGAUGAUUGCUGAUAACCUCUCCAAGAAAAGGUUAAAGGCUUCUGGUGGACUAAACAUGCUUAUUCUGACAUACUUUGGACUAGCCCCAAACCUCUCCCCACUUCUUGCUAUUAUCUUAUGCUCUCUUAAACGACUCUCCCAGUCUAUAUCCUCCUUGCUGUGCAACCAUGCAAAAGCUGUUUGCAGAAAAGCAAAAUAUGUCAGAAGAGAUUUUCAAAUGAGCCUACAAUAAAGUUGGGGUGUCCUAUUUCAAAAGUAACAAAAAUAAUAUUGAUCUAAUUAUGAGCAUUACCAGGAUUUGAAUACAUGUACUUUCCAGUGAAGUUGCAGUAAUCUCGUGGGUACUUUGGCAGACUGAAGACUCUGCUGUUCUUGACAACAUUUCGCAAUCUCUCCCACCUUUCUUUCAGAAUGCUAUGGCUAUACUCAAAGAAGUUCUCUGAAUCAGCAGUCCUACAACCUUCGCCAAGCACUCCAAGAAUCUUCGCAGCUCGAAUCUGAGAUUCUUUAGAUACACCGAUGGAACUGAUCUGCAUGUAUUCAGUCAUCUUUCUAGCUACCUCUUUAUCCUUAACAAGUGCCCAGCUUCAAUUUGGAAACAAAAUAAUUAGCAGAAAGGAACAAGAAUGAACUACAAAUUAAACACAGGCAAAGAAGAAUGAUAUAUUGUUGCGAUCUUCUUAUUCCAACAAGUCAUGCAUGGCGACAUUAAUCUCUUUAACUAAAGAAUGUCCUGCUCACCCAAUCCGGGAACCAGCAUGUCCAGUGCAUUUGGAAAAUGUGAACAGCAUAAUAUCAUGAUCCAAGGGUUGAGUGAUAGGCGUGUAUUGUGGCCAGUAGUAGGCAAGGUCAUAGACAAGCUUCCCUUCUCCACGGUUCACCACAGCUUCUCGGACAGCACCGUCAGGAUUAUUCGGCGAGGUUACGACCUCAAUAUAAGGUCCAUCCUUAUCGAAGGUGUGCGCAUCUCCCUCCCAUUUAUAGAGUCCUGAACGCAGGAAUUCUGCCUGAUCUUUAUAUCCCUGCAGGCAAUGAAUAUCACAGGCACAUAAAUGAAUUAAUCUUCCACGACGAAUGAAGGGCGCCGGAGAAUUGACCUGUCCUCUUUUUUUUUCUUUUUUCUUUUCACCAUAGACGCACCAUGAGGUAAGAAACCAAUACAUGUCUUGAAUUAGUAUUUUGUCAGUCAAGUAACAUGAACAGGAAAUUAAGAAAACUUGCAAUCACAUUAUGGAUUAAUUAAUCACAUAUGCGUAAAUAAAUGCAUGUGAAUAAGCAUGCAAGCAGUCAAGCAUUUGCAACUCUGUUGAUGCCCAAUUGCAUAUGAUAUAAUUAAAUAAACUCAAGAACCGAGGUUCUGCAGCAAAGUUUGUGGAAAAUGUGGGUAACAUGCAAAGUUGUCUGCUCCAAGGACCGCAACAAGGGAGAUGGAUUUGCUAUUUUCUAAGAUGAAACAUCUUUGUUCCUGCUCGCGUAGCAAACGCCAGGCGCAAGUUCUCCCAAGUUUUGACACAAACGAGACAUGGUCAUGUUACCUAAAUCUUAGUUUCUCUUUACGAAACAUGUUUGUCGCCAUGUCUUUUGUUACAAACAGCACUCAUUUUUAUUUAUUGAUUAAUGAGUUAUUUUAUUUGUAAGAAAUACCAUUAACGUGAUGUUCUUAUUAAAUUAAGCUCUUUCUUUUUCAGAAAUAAUCUUAAUGAUCUCGCACGUACGACUUUUUCACUGAUGGCUGCGCCGGCCAAGCUUAAUUUCCUUAACCAGGCAAAGAUGGCUCUCUAAAUAAAUAAAUACAUGAGAAAUUAAAAAAGUAAACUAAAUUUAAGCAGUUCUGUUUUAUGCAAGACAAAUAAACAAAAAAAAAGAAGAUUAUAUUAGAUACUCUUGUUGGUUUGACUUUGACUUAUCAAAACUGUCUUGGCUGGUUUCAGAUCUCCUAGGUAUACAUCCUUAGAGGAUCUGACUCCUCUAAUGUUAGAGGUGACCCGCCUCAUCAUGUCAAAAAACUAAAAUUAGAACGUUGAUUUUGAAAUUUAUAAUUUGAAUUUUCUCAAAUAAAAAAAUAACUAUUAAUUUUAAAAAUAAAAAAAGAUCUGCCCACCAAGUAAAAUAAAUCUCAAAUACUGUGUUUUAGAUUAAUAUAUAGAUUUUCUUAAUAUAACGGAUCAUGCUAUCCCUAACUUAAAGGGAGAGCUCAUUCCAAUCGUUUGAAGAUCGUCAUUGAGUUCCAUGAGUAGGUUAUUAAGCCAGUAUUGAGUCUGGUUUUACACCAUCAGAUCAAGUGAAAGCAUGUAAAGACUUGCACCAAAUUAUGUAAACUGAAAGAAGUUUGAUGAGGAAGGGAGCGGUGGCUACCGAGUAAAAAGGAGCAGCAGCUACAAGACUGACGGGGUGGCGAUCAGCCGGAGAAGAGAGAGCAUACAGAGCAGCCAUUAAGAGCUGUGUUGAACCUGUCCCAACCACGAUGUGGCGAUCCUCUGUUACUGCGUUUCCAACAACACGAUGCAGUCGCUUUAUGGCAUCACCAAGUUGUGGCUGCAAAAACCAGCAAAUGUUGCUAAUAUCACUGAAAUAGCUCAUCAAAUCACACCCUUCAAUCAUCAACGUACACUUGUCUCCCAUUUUCCUCCAGUAUGGCUCGAACAACGUUGGAUCUCCCCUGCAUUUCCGCAUAACACAUCACUUCCUCGUACGUUAAGAAAAACUCUAUCCCAGAUAACAACACUACGUGAUAAUUAUACCAAACUAAAACUGUUAAACCGUAAAUGACUAUAGCCAGGCCAUUGCACCGGCGCAAUGUAGCCACAACGAGGUGGUGUAUGCUUUUAAUUUCCGAUAGAAAACAAAAGAAUUUAAUAAACGUGAACUUACUGAUCUAGAUUGAUCAUGGAAUCCGGUGAGAGACUUGUCUUUGUGGGCUUAGUUGUCGUCGGAGAAGAGUUUUGGUUAUUGGUUGCUCCAUUCUCUAAACCGCCCAUUUUUCUCUUCUCUUUUCUUCUGUUCUUUUGGUUUCCUCAACUACAGUCAGUGCUCGUGGUUUCUCGUAUACGUGCUUUGAUGGGCUAUGCAAAUACCUGUAUUUAUACUAAAUUAAUGAUGCGUCAGAAACUCUUUUUUUUUUUUUUUCAAUUCUGUAUAUGAGAGUACAUGUUAUAUUAUACGUGGGGGUGUUUUUAUUCUUGCUUUGCUUUGGUUUUUUUAUUUUUAUUAUGUUACCAAGCAUCUAGACUUUUGUAGUUAUAUUAUUCUAUAUUUUCUCAAGAAAAGUUGCAAGAUUAUCUGUCAAAUGCAAUUUUGCUUGUUUCCAUUCCAUAAUUAUUCCUAACCCAUAUUAACAUAUUAUCAUUGAUGGAAAGAUACAAUGAAUUCAAAACAUCAUAUGUGUUGUCUUAAAAAAAUUAGUUUGUAGUUAAAAAUAAUUUUUAAAAAAUAAAAACAAUAUUAUUUUAAUGUAUUUCCAAGUAAAAAGCAUUUUGAUAACAAAAUCAACUAUAUUAUCAAACAAACCCUGAAUUUUGAUGAUAACAUUUGAGAAAUUAUUAGUUUUUUUUAACGUACUAAACUGAUAUAAGGGGUGUAUUUUUAAUUUAUCUAGAAAAAAAAAAUCAAUCUCAAUACCUUUAUUGUUGAAAAAAAAACUAACAUGCAAUGUACAUAUAUCACGCUGCUCACGGGCUCCAAAACCUAUCAAAACAGAAUCUGAUCGCACGCGCGCGCGCACAUACAUGAUAUUUAAAAUACACAUAGCAUAAAUCAUGAGAGAUAUUGUAGAAAAUGAAGUUCCUAAAUGAGAAAUAAAUGAGAAACAUGCAAUAUAUCAACCAAUGAAUUAAGAGUGUAUUUAAAAAUGUGAUGGAAUCUUGCUUCUAAUUAAGGGUUUUAAAUUUUUUAUGUUUUUUAAUUAUUUUGAUGUGCUGAUAAAAAAAAAAAUUUAAAAUUCAUUUUAAAAAAAUUAUUUUAGAAAAGCUCAAUUCCCAAUCAAUUUAAUAUUGAAGGAUAGAAUCAUAAAAAAAAUCAAUUUAGAAAAAUAACUCGAGAUAACUAGUGAUAUUUUUAAAAUCAAUGAAAAAAUAAAUAAAUAAUAAUAAAGCCUACUCAGCCUAGCCUCCAAUUGAAUAAAUGAUAAAGGAUAAAAUUAAAAAAAAAUCAAGUAAACCCAGACGAACCUUCUAUAUUUAGGUUAACCUCUAAACUCACAACCCUUAAAAUCCUGGAUCUGGACUUAAUAUAGAGGCUAAAUCCCUGACCAAUUUAAUAUUAAAGGGUGAAUCCAAAAGAAACUUGGGCAUUUAUUACUUGGAUCAUAUUCGCGAUUUAUUUCCAUACUUGAACAAAUAAGAAUUUGGAAGGUUUAAAUUUUGUAAUUGUCGCUUCUAUAAUAGAACAGUUAAAUAGGAAAAACAAUAACAGUUUAAAAAACUUGUCAAAGUAAAAAAAAAAAAAACAAUAACAGUGAAAAAAGUUAGAAUCAAAUUUUAUAGGAAAAAGAGUCAAGGAAGAUGAAAAUAUGAAAAAGUUAAUUUAAAAAACCAUUUCAAACAAACCAAAUAGAAAUCAAAAAAAUGAAAAUCAAAUUUGAAAGAUUUAAAAAGUAAAAGGGGAUGAAAUUAAAAAAGAAUUCUGAUUUUAUAUAUUAUUCAAAAAAUUAUUACAAAUAUUGAAGGAUGAAAUUAAAAAAAAAAAAAUUUUAAAACUCACCCAAAGAAAAUUCAACAAAGAACAAAAAAAAAAAACCUUGAGAUAAGUUGAGUCAUUUAAAAAAUAAGUGAAAAACUCUAUAGAAAGCUAAUAAAUAAAAAUAACAGAGCUUAAUCUCUAAUUGAAUAAAUAUUAAAUGAUAAAAUUAAAAAAACAUGAGCUUAAAAAAUAAUUAAAAAAAAACAAGCAAACAUGAGCGAAUCACUUAAAGUCAAGCUAAUAUCUAAAACUUGCAACCUAUGCGAUCCUAAACCCGAACACAAUUAAGAAGCCUAAUUCAUAACUAAUUUAAUGUUGAAGGAAGAAAUCGAAAAAAAUACAAAUUUAAAAACUUUGUCAAAGUAAGAAAAAUAACAAUCAAAAGAAUGAAAAUCAAAUUUGAUAGGAAAAUAAACUUAGGGAGAAUGAAAUAAUAGAAAAAAAUAUUAAAAAUAAUCUCAAACAAAAUAAAUAGCAAUCAAUAAAUUGAAGAUCAAAUUUGAAAGAUAAAAAAAGUGGAAGAGGGGGAUGAAACUGAAAAGGAAUUCUAAUUUUGAUUAUUAUUCAAAGUAAAAUAAAUAAUAAUUAAAAAGGACAGUGACCAAAAGUUAAGAGAAAAAAUUAAAGGGAUUGGUUUGAAAUUUUGAACAAUUUGACUCAAAAUUUGAGGUGGAAAGAGAAGGAGGAAAAACAAGAAAUCGUUGUCAGUAUCAAAUACGAGGUGUGUUUAAUGCACAUGCCAUCCCGUCGUUGAGAGGAUACGAAAACCUUUUUAAAGUGUCAUUAAAUAUCGUGUUUGGUGACCAGACAAAUUGAUAAGCACCACUUGAAAGGUACUGGGAUCAUCGACUUGCUUGUGCGUGCCAUACACGUGUUUAAAGGUUUUUUUAAAAAUAAUGUUUAAUAAUAUUCAUAUAUAAAAGUGCUCUGAUUCUCUUUGAUAUUUUAAAAAAAAAGGCCACAAUAAAAGGACCGAAAGGCUCCUAAAAGAGAAUUUAGUGGAAUAUGUCAUUUAACUAUUUAAAAAUAAAAUUAAAAAUUAAAAUUAAAAUAAUCCUAAAUAUAUAUUAAUUUUUUUUUUAUUUGAGGGAUAACUAUAUAAUUUUAUUGUGCAUAAAUAAUAAGAAGAUUAAUAUGAACACAUUACAUUGCCCGUAAUGUCUAAGAUAAAGGUUUUAUUGUUUACGAAAUUUUUUGGUAUUAUGUUAUUAUAAUAAACAGUGUUUAGAUUCUUGAUUUUAAUUUUUUUAAUUUAAUUUAAUUUAAUUUGUUAGACUUUCCCUUUAUUAAUAUUUAAUAUAAGUGUGCGUUUAGAUUAGUAUUAUUAAGACAAUUGAUCUUUUUAUUAUUUUUAUUCAGUUGAUUCUCUCAAUUUUACCUAAAUUAUUUUUUAAAAUAUUUUUUUCUAUUGCUUAUGUUUUUUUCAUUAAAAAAAGGCAUAUAGCACACUCGAACGUCCACCAACACAUGAUUUGCUUUGUGCAAGAAAACAGAAAUCCAUGACUGAUGGUCGGUCGGCUUGAAUAUCAUGUGCCAUCAAUGAUGAUGAUGCAUGUGCUAUUCACUGAUAAAACAUGGGGCUUUUCAAACGUUCUUUGUAUUUAGACUUGUUAUUAUUAACAAAACAAUUAAAAGAUAAAUAAAUUAAAAUAUUGUUUCGGUUUCACGAGUGAGAUGAACAGUUAAACAACUGGCUUUCUUUUUUUCAUUUUCUUUUUUAUCUUUUAUCAUACCUUUUUAUAUAGCCUAUUUAGAAAACAAUUAGGCUUGGAAUUAUAAUAAAAAUAUAAAAUUUAAAGAUAAAAAAUUAACAAGUAAAAUAUAAAUAAAAUAUAUAGCAAACCACACAAUAAAAGUCCUUCUAUUUCAUUUGUAAUUAUAAAUUCAAUUCAAUAUUAAUUUAGAUGUUUAUUUUUCACCCACUUUUGUGUAAAACGUGCUAGCCUGACUUGCCAGACCCAACAUCACUUGAUUUUUUUAAAAAAAAAAUAUUUUUUUAAUUAAUGCCCUUAUAUAUAUAUAUAUAUAUAUUCAAAAUAAUUUUUAAAUUUAUAUGUAAAUAAUGCCUCAUUUUUCUUUUAUUUUGUUUAUCUAGACUCUUUUAAAUAAAUAUUAGUUUUUAGUUAUUUUAUAUGCAUUUAAAUUUUAGAGAGAUUAUUUUAAUUCAUCUAUAUUUUUUAUAUAUUUUAUAUAAAUGAAAUUUAUUUUAAAAAAAUUUAAAUAUUUAUUUUUGGAUAAUAUUUUUAAUAUAUGUAAUCUUGUAUAAUAUUUUUUUUUAUCUUUUAUUUAUUAAUUAAUUUCAUGUGUAUCUAUUUUUAUUAUCACUUAUUUAAAUAAAAAAUUAAUUUUUGUAAACAGAGUUGUGAAUUUUUGUAAAUUAAUUUUUAUUAUCUUGGUCUAUAUGUGACUUUCAAUUUUUUAGUUUUUAUCUUUAUUUAUCAUUAAUGACUUUUUAUUUAUUUAUUUAUUAAUAUAUAUUAAUUUAUUUUAUUAGAUGUACCUAUAAGUUUUUUAAUUUUAAUUAAAAAAAAUUUAAAAACAUAUAUAUUUAUUUUUUAUAUAUAAAAAAAAAUCCUUCCCACAACAAAGUACAAGUGAAAGAGCUAUUAAAAACUAGCCAGUAUAGGUUUGAUAAAGAGGAUAUUGGGCUGGUAUAUCAUAUUAUUACUGUUAUUAAUUUUUACCACUAUAUAAUAAAAAAUAACAACAGUGCAUUAUUGUGCUCAAUUUGGGCGGGACUUGUCGCACGUGUGUGGCGGCACGGCGAUCGUCCACCCUCAAGGAAAAAUCAGAAUAAUUUAUUCCUGGCAAAUAAAAUAGGGAGAGACAAGGAAUUCUUGUCUCUACAAGUGAAAAUAUGGACUGGGAGUCGCCACCUAGUAUUCUGGUUACUAGGAACCUUAACUGGUCUUUAGAGAUCGGGUACGGAGACUAGUUGCGUAAAGGGAAGGUAUUAGCACCACAACUACGUCCUACUUAAGGUAGACUGCAUUGUUUUAAUGUCUGAUAAAAUCUAAAAUCGUGUUGUGGUUUUUUUGAAUUUUUGGUUCGUUUACGGUUUAAGAAAAGUCCUCCUCUGUAAGGAGGUCCUUAUCUUUAUCGGGUAAAAAAAGUACUAUUCGAAGUCGUCAAAAGAAAAUAUUUUUUUAAUAUCAGGAAUACGAUUUACGCAUAAAUUCAUAAUCCCUGAUACUAAAAUCAAACAAAAUAAAAUAUUUGUUGUUUUUUGAAAUUUUGGCCAAUGUUCUCUUGACUUUAAUAAACUGGUUAUUAAAGCCAAAAUGCAUGCUAAAAUAUUGUUUUUUGACAUAUGAAAAAUACGAUAUGAUUUUUUAGAUUUGAGACACUUGGCCGUAUGUACAAAAACAUUUUUUUAUCUUUUUUUCAAUUUUUUUUUAUUUUUGGAAGUUUUUGCCGAAAACCGAGUAUUUUAAUACCGGAUUUAUAUUUUUACGAUGUAAAAAUACUGCCCGAUAUCAAUCAAAAUGACAUACAAACGACGCGGAAAAAUUAUAAAAUGCCGAAACAAAUAUUUUUGAUUUUUUAUGUUGUGUGAACAGUACCGCGGGACGAAAACCGGGUAUUUUAAUACCGAAUUUAUAUUUUUACGAUGUAAAAUACAGACCGAUAUUAAGCAAAAUUGAUAAAAAAAAAAAUGUGCUAAAAAAUUGUAAAAAAACUUCUGAAAAAAAAAAUUGAAAAAAAAAAAUUGAAAUGGGCCGGGUCCGGUAACCAGCCCUCUUCAGCUGCAGAACGUGAAUUAAUUCACGUUCUGCAUGCAAACGAGGGAGGCAGCAAACGGAGAAGGCGACAGGGCGGCGAGAGAUUACCUGCGGUGACGUCGUGGCGGUGCUGCCGGCGGCGUAGGCACGGUGGCGGAGGCCGGCGGUGGUUCUCUCUCUCUCUCUUCUGUUUUUCUUCGUUUUCUUCCCUGCUGCUUCUUCUUCUUCUUCUUCUUCUCUGCCCUCUCUCUUCUCUUCUCUUCUAUCUCGGUUCGUCUCCCUCUCCCCUCUGUUCUUCCUCUCCUUCUUCGGUUCCCUUCCCCUGUUUUUAUAGGCAAAAACAGGGGAAGGCCGAAUGGUGGGGCGGCCACUAUUGGCCGCCCCUCCACUAUCUGUUCAAAAGGUGGCAAGUGGGCUGGUGUGGUAGGUGUCUUAUUGCGCAAAAAUAGGGAAAGAGGUUAGGCGAAAAGGGAGAAGAAAAAUCUUCUUCUUCCCCUGCCUCGCGUGUCCAGGGGAAGAAGAAGAGCUACAGUGCCGUCAAAACGGCACCGUUUUGGGCAUCUGUAUUUUAUUUUUUUUUUUUUUGCAACAGUGAAUGAAACGGCGCCGUUUUGGUCAAAACGCGCCGUUUCAUUUAAAAGGAAAAGGCGCCAAAAGCAUCAGAUUCAAAUUUCGGCCCUCCAUUUGCGCGCGUUUUACAAUUUAGUCCUUGGUCUCGGAUUUCUUCAAUUAAGUCCCUAAUUGGCCAUUAAACUUCAAUAUUUAUGCAAUUAAGCCCCUAAUUUGACCAAAUUAACUUCCAAAAAUUUAAAUUUGACCCCAGAAAAUUAAUUCCUCCUAAUUAAAGCCCAAAUUAACUCCAAAAUCAAUUUUUCUUGCAAUUAAAAUCUUCAUAAAUGCAAUUAAACCUUCAAUAAAAUUUAAUUGAGUCCAUAAACUUCUAAUUUUGCAUUUUUCUUCCUCAAAAUUGAAUUUUCUUUAUCAUCGGGGCUCUCAUCAGUCAAUGAUAUACUGUCAAAAAUUAAUUUUUAUACUUUUGAACAUCCUCAAUCAAUUUUUGAACAUUUUUAGAGCGCUCUGGCAUUUUUUCACUGUUAUAUUUUUUGAUAAUAUAUUUUUUUGAAUUUUUUUAUAUUUUUUUUUAUGUGGGGACCCAAAAAUGGGUUACAACAGGACUUUUCAAGAACAAUGUUGUUUUCUUUCAUUUUGGUCAUCAAUGAUGAUGUUGUUUUUGCGUAUUCUUGGAAGUUAAAUUUGAAUUUGCUUCUCUUUGUACUCAUUGUUUUAGAGACAUAAGAAUUUGAAUUUAUAGUAAAAAAAAAUUAAAAAAACAAGUACCAAAAUAACUAAUAACAAUAUUAUCUAUUGUUCGAAUGAUGCAUAAAAAUAUAAUUUCAUCCUUAAAGUUUAAUUUAUGCAUAUUUGAUCUCUAUAGUCUUAGAAUUAUAUGUUUCAAUCUUGGACUUCUUUUUUUAUUUAUUUAUUUUAGUCUUUAAGUGUAGAGAGAUGCUAGAAAAAAAAGAAAAAAAAGACAUCACUCAGUCAGUUAAAAAAAUCAAUCUUGUUAUCAAUAAAUUUGUCUUACAUAAAUAAGUUCUAUAAAGAUGGUUUAGAAUUUUUAUCCGGUUAAAGUCAAAAACACAAAUUGAGGCUUAGAAUUUUUUUUUCUUUGGUUUGAUUCUAGAUGUUUAAUAGAUUGGAGGGCAUUUUGGGGUUAAAAUGAGUUUAAAGAGGUUCUUAAUAUAUACAUGUGUGUGUGUGUGUUUUAAAGUAAAAAUAAGUUGAAAAAUAGGUUUUGAAGUUGUAGAACUCAUACUUUAAAUUCAAAUAAUCAUGAAAGGUCAAAAUUCAAACUAGAAUGUGGUGCCUAUUGUUUUUUAUUAAAAAAAAAUAUUAGAAAAAAUAAAGCAUGGAAUAAAAGAUUUUUUAUGGUAAAAUUAACCAUUACUUUGUGAAUUAUGAUAUAAGAAGGUAAUAUGCAAAGUUUUUUAAAAAAUGUUCAUAACUAUUAAAUGAGAAUAAAACUAUUUUGUUAUUUUUUAUUAUAUAAUUUUUACAUAAUUUUGAUGAUUAAUUAUUCUUUUAUGUUUUUCUUCUAUUGUGUACAAAUUAUUGAUUCAUGAUUUUUAUAUUUUUUUAAUGAAAAUUUCUUUUCAAAUCAUAAUAAAUCUUUAUUUAGAAAACAAUACUUCUAUUAAAAAACAUGUUUUCUAGAAACAAGAAAGAAAUGCAUGAAUAAUAAAAGCGAUUUUUAAUUGAAAACGAUACAUUUUUCCCUUUUUUAAUUCAAAUAAUUAAUAUUUUUAUGAAUAUUUAUUUUAAUUAUUUUUAGUUUUUAUUCAAAAACAUGCUACUAAUUAAAAAAAAAAACAUGUUCUUGUCAAACAAAAAUACAUGAAUAAAAAUUGAAAAACUCACCUAACAAAAUAUUUUUUUUCUCCACAAUUUAAAUCUUUGUGUUUUUUUUUACAAAUAUCAAUUUUAAAUACCACAAAACUAGAUGAAAAAAGAUUUUGAAAACCGCCGCAUAAGGGAAAAAAUUAGUAAAUAUAUUAAAAGAGCUAGACUUUUUAUUGUAACUCUAUAUUGUUCAAAUAGAAAUAAAACAUUGUGAAUUACUUCGUAGAAAAACAAAGCAAUCUCUAUUGUUCACCUACAAAUAAGACAAUAUUAAUUGUAUACUCUAGCCCCUAAAGCUUUUAAUUUUUUAAUUUUUGGUCCUUUUAGUUUAAAGCCCGUUAGUUUUGGUCUUUAAAUUUCAUUUUUAUAAUAUUUCAUACCCUGUAUUCUAAGAGAGGAGAGAACAACUUCUUACUGAUUCAUAUUUAUUUCACACAAAAAUCAAUCAUAGUAUUAAUAAGUUCGUCAUCUUAGAAAGAAAAUGUAAAAUGAAGGUGCCUUUUCUAUUUAACUACACCUAAAAAUAGAUCAAAACAUUUUAUUAUAGAAACAAAACACUAUUCAUUUUACACUUUUAUCAUUGUAGUUUUUAAAUUUUUUUUUCAUAUUCGAUCCAUGUAAUUUUUGUUUUGUUCAUUUUAGUUUUCAAACUUUAUUUUCAUCACAUUUUUGUUCCUGGAUUCUAAGAGAGGAGAAAGAAAAUUGUUGAAAAACAAAAAAAAAUAUAUUUUUUAGCUAGCCAUAAAAGAGACUAAUCUUGGUGUUAAAAACUUCAUUCCAAUUAUUAGGAAUUUUUAUUGAAUUUCUUUAAGUUUGUACGGAAAAAACCAUGUUGUUGAUAAAAACAAAAAUCAUGGCUAUGUCAAAUUAUUGAAAUUAUUUCAAGUAUUUAUUUUAAUAGUCAUAAAAUCAAAUAUAAGCAGGUUUUAAAAUGACCCUGCGACUUCCUGUGGAUAACAAACUAGUAAACUAAACUAAAAUUGAGAAUAAAAUUGUAUUUUAAUCACAUUGUUUUUGUCUGUUACCUUUUUUCUUCUCUUUUCAAUCAAUUUUUUGUCUUAAAAAAUAGAGAAUAAAAUUGUAUUCUAAAUAAAAUUAUUGAGACGAUAUGCCAUGCUACAAUUUUUAAAUAAAAUUAUAGCUUUUAUGGUAAUAUUAAUAAUUGUUUUAUAAAUGAUAGACAUCAAUAACUAUGAAUUAAAUUAAUUUUUUCUUAAUGAUAAUUUUUCAAACUCAUAAAAUUGUAGCUAAUGGAGUGAUUAUUGGAGAGGUUUCAAAACUUUAUACUUUUUAUUACAAAACUAAUAAAUCUAAAAAAAAUGAAUUAUUUUGUGUAAGAAUUUUUAGGCCUAUAAAAAUAGGAUUUGUGCUUCUGAUAAUUUUUUUGUAUUGGAGAUGAAAAGAAAGAAUAAAAAAUUUUAAAAGGAUAAAUAUAAUGAUAAUUUGAUUUUCAGUGUGGUAAUAAAUAGGAGCAACAUGCAUGGGAUCAUUCCUUUUAAAACCAAAAAGAAGAAUUUAUUGAAGGGGAAAUAAGAAAUAUUUUGUUAUUCCUAAGAGUGGAUUCUUUUUUUUUAAUUGUUGGCGGUCAUAUGAUUUUUUAUAUUUAGACGUGAUUUGUUAAUAGUAAUAAAUAAAGAUAAUAAGAAAUAGAAAGAAAUUGAUCACCUGGAUCGUGUAUAGAAUAAAUAGUUUAAUGGAAGUCAGAAUUUUCAAAAAUAUUUGGAACAUUUCAUUUUUAAAUAGAUGAUUUUUUUUUCAAGUGUUCACAAUUAUAUAUUAAUCAAGCUAAUCCUUUGAAUCUAGAUCAAACUUGUAACCAUGUUUUUUUCAAGUCUGGCACCAAUCAAUUCGACUACAAAGAAUAAUUUUUAUUAAAAUAUGUGCAAUUUAUUAAAAACUUUCUUUAGAUAUAAAAUUUUGAGUAUUCAAUGAACCUAAUAUGCAUAUUUUUUUAAACAAAUUGCUUAUGAAUAUUGUAUGAAAAUAAAAUAUUUUUUUCUUUAUUAAAAAUAUUUUAUAUAAUUUUAUUAAAUUAAUUAUUCUUCUAUUUUUUUCAUAUAGUCAUGUAAAAAUUACCAAAGCAUUUGUUUGUUUGUUUGUUUACUGUGUCUUGUUUUUCAAAUCUAUAGGCAACUAGAUAAGCAAAUUAAAAUCUGCAGCAACCAUCCUUUGACAAAUGUUAUGAAUUUAGGCUAUGGGGUAGGUGGGAGGGUCGGAUUUUUUUAAUAACCAAGCAUUAUAUACUUUAUCUUUCGGCCCCCACCAACGCAGGAAGCACCUCGGCUGGUUCGUUGCCAUCACAGACGUUGACUUCAAAUAUUACUAGAUACAAAGUAAAUAAUCUUACAAUACUGUGAUGCACAGCAGAUGCAAAUCAGGACUUCAUUAGGGUUUGUCUGAGCUUGUAAUAUCCAACCAUGCCUUAUUUCAACUUCACUCAAGAGAUAGGCGAACCUGACUUGGUUACCGGGGAAAUUCCGGGGAUUAAAUCUGAAGCUAGUUUUUUUCUAAGCACAUCAGCAGCAGAAGGAUUACGCUCAUCAAGAGUCGCUGACAUCACAGGUGAGAGUUCUUCUUCAGAAUCUUUCAAAUCAAAUUAUGCAAAGCUUCCUGAUUACCUUAAGUCAUGCCUAGACUACUCUGCCAUUGUUUGUGGGAGAUAUGGUGUAGAGAUAGGAAAACUAGUUCGGCUUUUGUUGGCUGAAGGUCUUAUAGAAGACAGACCAGGGGAUAUCAUGGAGGAUGUAGCAGCAAAUGUUCUCAAGGAAUUGAUUGACCUAGGAAUGCUUCAAGAAGAACGACAAGGGACUGAAGUAAAAGUCCCUGCAUCGUAUCUCCGGUUAUGUAUUCUUAAAUUGGAGAAACAAGAUUUUGUUUCUAAAACUGCAAACUCACCUGUGCGUUUAGGGAUCAGAGAUGAUGGAAGGGAUAUCUAUCCUAAAGUUGAAGGCCUUCUAAUUCAUUCUCUGUUUAUUCUCGGUGCAGACCGCCGUGCUUAUUUUGAUUCUUACCGAGGCCUUUCACGGGCCUAUAUGAGAAAUGUUUGUGGUAUGCACUUUCUGUUGGUGUUGGAUUUGGAUUGCUGGAUAGAGCGCUUACCUGAUGAAUUGGGAGACUUGAUUCACCUGAGGUACUUGGGCUUGUUUAACUCAAAUCUAGAUGAGCUUCCAGGGACUUUAGGGAAUCUUAAAAGACUGCAAACUUUGGAUAUAAGGUGGUGUGGAGGACUACGCAAACUACCAAUACAAAUUCUGCAUAUCCAGCAGUUGAGACACCUUCUAAUGUCCGACAGCAUUAAUGAUUGUGAAAUUAGAGUUCCGAAGGGCAUUGGAGCAUUGGUAAAUCUUCACACUUUGUCUGGUAUUUAUGGUGGAGAUGAUAUUGCCAUGGAAUUGAUUGCCUUAACCCAGCUACGAGAGCUAGGCGUUAAGCGUGUGACUGCCGAUCAUGCCAGUGAGCUGUUUGCAGCUAUAGAGAAGAUGGAGAACCUCACAUCCCUAUCGCUAGAAGCAGAGCGAAACUACUUUGAAGGUACUAUUUUUCCUGAAUCGGAUGCGUUUUCUCCUCCGCCACUUCUUCAAGAGUUUUUCUUAAGUGGGGGAUUAAUUGAGAUGCCCGUUUGGUUUGCCUCCAUGGAAAACCUCACCCGCCUAUCAUUAUUGUUUUCUUAUCUAUCCGAGAAUCCAACUUCAGUCCUUCAGUUUCUUCCCAAAUUGAAGCAUCUUCAACUCUGCCAUGCCUACAAGGCAAGGCACAUUGGUAAAGAAUUUUGCAAUGCAGGUGGUUUCCCUGUGCUGGAAACUCUCACAAUUGCUUCUGGGUCCCUGGCGGAAUGGACUGAAAUUGAAACCGGAGCUUUUCCACGUUUAAGAUAUCUUUGUUUUCAUAACUGUGGAAACUUGAUUUUUCUUCCUGAAGGGUUGCAGAACAUUUCCACACUUCAAGAUCUGUGUUUCUUCCCGUGGCAUCCAGACCUUAGAAGGCGAUUGAUGUCCCAAAUAUUCGGACGUCUAAGAACUGUUGAUUUUCCAACCACGAAAUGGAAAAACAUUAACCACAAUAGCUUCCAUAGGAAGUUUUUCGAGGAUGAAAUGCUUUUGCUUUACUCCUCAAAUAUCAUCUCCUGCUUUCUGUUCAUUUACUUCAAUAUUCUGGUGAAGUGUGCUAUCCUCUACUGUCUUGUAUACCUAAAUUUGUGCAAUCUCCAGCGGAGAAACCAGUGUACUAGACUCCAAAAAAUCUAUCUUGAUGAUGAACGAUGUGUUUAUCUAUUUGCAUUUCCUUAAUAUCUGGAUUAUUAUCUAAUUAUUCUAUGGAAUUGCCCUUCUUGUAGAUUUCUCUCUAAGGAUUGAAUCAUUAGAAAAUCAAGGAGACAGUUAUAUUGUUGGUUUUUUAUUCGCUUGGAAGUGGACUUGCUGGAUAAGAAACACGUCUAUUAUAUUGGCAACAGUUCAUAUAAAUUAUACAUCCCAUUCCGGGUUUACAUAGAAUCAAAGGCGCGCGUAGCAAAUAUUGUUUUUGCAUUUUAUUUUAUUCAAUUAAUUAAUUUUACCUAUAAGAAGGUAAUAUGCAAUUUUUUUAAAAAAAAAUGUUCAUAAAUAUUAAAUGAGAAUGAAACUAUUUUGUUAUUUUUUAUUGUAUAAUUUUUACAGAAUUUUGAUGAUUAAUUAUUCUUUUAUGUUUUUCUUCUGUUGUGUACAAAUUAUUGAUUCAUGAUUUUUAUAUUUUUUUUUAAUGAAAAUUGCUUUUCAAAUCAUGAUACAUCUUUAUUUAAAAAACAAUACUUCUAUUAAAAAACUUGUUUUUUUGGAAACAAUAAAGAAAUACAUAAAUAAUAAAAGCGAUUUUUAAUUGAAAAAGAUACAUUUUUACUUCAUUUAAUUCAAAUCAUUAAUAUUUUUAUGUAUAUUUAUUUUAAUUUUUUUUUAGUAUUUAUUCAAAAACAUGCUACUAAUUAAAAAAAAAACCUGUUCUUUUCAAACAAAAAUACAUGAAUAAGAAAUGAAAUACUCACCAAACAAAAUAUUUUUUUCUCCACAGUAUAACUCAUUGUAUUUUUUAUAUAUAUAAAUAUCAAUUUUAAUUACCAAAAAACUAAAUGAAAAAAGAUUUUGAAAACCGCCACACAAUGGAAAAAAUUAGUAAAUAUAUUAAAAGAGCUAAACUUUUUAUUGGAACUUUGAUAUUGUUCAAAUAGAAAUAAAACAUUGUAGAUUACACGAGAGAAAAACAAUGUAAUCUUUAUUGUUCACCUAAAAAUAAAACAAUAUUGAUUGUAUGCUCUAGUCUCUAAAGUUUUUAAUUUUUGAUCCGUUUAGUUUAAAAUGGUAGUUUUGGUCUUCAAACUUCAUUUUUAUAAUAUAUGAGUCCUUAUGUUUCGAGAGGAAAAAGAGAAAUGAAAAAGAGAAAGCCAUUAGAAAAAAAGAAAGGAGAGAGAAAGUCCUCACUUAUCCAUUUUUAUCCCACAAAAAAAAUUAAUAUUAAUGUCAAUGGGUUUAUCUUAGAAAAAAACAUCAAUGAAUGUGCUUUUAGUCUUUUUCCAAAAAGUAGAUCAAAGCAUUUUAUUAUAAUUUUGGUAUUGUUCAAGCACUGAUAUAACAUGUGAAAUCUCUAUUGUUCAUGAAACAAAACACUGUUUAUUUUACACUUUGAUUAUAGGAGUUUUCAAUUUUUUUUUCUUAUUCAAUCCAUGUAGUUGAUUUUAGUCUUUUCAUCACAUUUUUGUUGCUAGAUUCCAAGAGAGGAAAAAGAAAGUCAUGGAAAAACAAAAAAGAUUAAUAUUUUAGCUAGCCAUAAAAAAUACUUAUUUUAGUGUCAAUAAGUUAAUUUUAUUCAAAAAAAAUCAAUAAAGUUUGUAUUUUUCCUCUAACUAUGAUGGAAAAUGUAGAUUGAGGCAUGCAAAGCUUUUUUUUAGGCUUGAUUUAUGAUUUUUUUAAGUGAUUAAAUAAUAUUUUAGAAUUGUAAAUGAAAUUAUUGAGGUUCCUAAUAUAUAUUUUUAAGUAAAAAAAGUUGAGGUUUUGAUUUUAGGAGUCCAAAAAACUCAAACUCUUCUAGUACUUGGAAAUUUUACUAAUAGAUAACACGUAGUUUGUCUAAGCAAAUAAUGUGUUGUUUAUUCAUUUGACAGACUAUAUGUAUUUUGCCCUUCCAUGUAGACCCUAGACACAUAUUACCUUUAAUUGGGCCUUCACCUUUCACAUUUUUUUUUUAUAUUUUUUUAAUAAAAUUAUCUUUAAAUAAAAUUAUUUUUAAAAAUAUUUGGUUAUGCCACAGUCUUCAAAUGCGAUUAGAGUUUUGUUAGAUAAUAUUAAAACUUAUUUUAUAAAUAAUUAUGUACAAAACUCAAAUUAUUUAAUUUUUUAUACCAUCACAUAAAAAAUAAGAUAUUAAUUUUUUUUCUUAGUUGAAAGUUACAUUACAAGCCAUGAUAAGGUUUUAUAUGAAGAAACAAGCUUCUAAUACAAAAAAGCAUUGUUCAAAAAAAUAAAAAAUAAAUCAAUGAAUAACAAAAGGGAUUUGUCUAAAGAAAUAAUUUUUUUCUCCUAAAUUUAAAUCAUUUCAAUUAUUAGGAAUUUUUAUUAAAUUUCUUUAAGUUUGUAUUGAAAAAACCAUGUUGUUGAUAAAAACAAAUCAUGGCAAUUUCAAAUUAUUGAAAUUAUUUCAAGCAUUUAUUUUAAUAGUCAUAAAAUAAAAUAAAAUAAAAUAAAAGCAGGUUUUAAAAUGACCUUUCAACAUCUUCUGGAUAAAAAACUAGUAAAAUAAACUAAAAAGUUUUUGUAGAUCUUAGUUGUUCCCUAGACAUAAGACAACCGUGAAUUGCACUAUAGGAUAGCGAUGUAUUUUUUUUUAUAUUGUUCCACAGGAACAAAAAAAUUUAUUUUGGUACCUAAAUUUUUGAAGUUUUACAUAUUUUGUUUGGUAAUACAUUUUUACAUACUUUAUGUGCACUCGGGCUGGAUGUUUUUUGCCUGUCACCUUUUUUCUUCUCUUUUCAAUCAAUUUUUUGUCUUAAAAAAACAGAAUAAAAUUAUAUUCUAAAUAAAAUUAUUGAGAUGAUAUUAAAACCAUUAUCAUGCUGUGAUAUAAUUUUUAAAUAAAAUUAUAGCUUUUAUAGUAAUAUUAAUAAUUAUUUUAUAAAUGAUAGACAUCAACAACUACGAAUUAAAUUAAUUUGGUCUUAACAGUAAUUUUUUAAACUCAUAAAAAUCGUAGCUAAUGGAGUGAUUGUUGGGGAGGUUUAUACUUUUCAUUACAAAACUAAUAAAUCUACAAAGUGAAUUAUUUUGUGUAAGAAUUUUUAGGUCUAUAAAAAUGGGAUUUGUGCUUGUGAUAAUUAUCUAGUAUUGGAGAUGAAAAGAAAGAACCAAAAUUUUAAAGAAAUAAAUAUAAUGAUAAUUUGAUUUCCAGUGUGGUAAUAAAUAGGAGCAACAUGGGAUCAUUCCUUUCAAAACCAGAAAGAAAAAUUUAUUGAAGGGGAAAUAAGAAAUAUUUUGUUAUUCCUAAGAGGGCAUUCUUUCUUUUUAAUUGUUGGUGUUCCUAUGAUUUCUUAUAUUUAGAUGUGAUUUGUUAAUCAUAAUAAAUAAAAAUAAUAAGAAAUAUAAAGAAAUUCAUGUCUGUAUCGUAUAUCAGCAUCCAAUUAUAAAAAAAAAAUGAAAAAAGAAAAGGUUCCAUCACAACUCAUAUAGAUACAAAUAGUGGAUUACAAAAGAAAAGGUUCCAUCACAACUCAUAUAGAUACAAAUAGUGGAUCACAACUCAUCCUUAAAAGGCGAUUGAUGGGUGAAGAGAAUUACAAAAUCAAGCAUGUCCCACAUAUUUGGAUGGUUUGAGAAUCGUUGAUUUUCCAACCAAGAAAUGGAAAAACAUUAACCACAAUAGUUUCCACAGGAAGUCUUUCAAGGAUGAAAUGCUUUUGCUUUACUCCUCAAAUAUCAUCUCCUGCUUUCUGUUCAUUAACUUCAAUAUUCUGGUGAAGUAUGCUAUCCUCUACUGUCUUGUAUACCUAAAUUUGUGCAAUCUCCAGCGGAGAAACCAGUGUACUAGACUUCAAAAAAUCCAUCUUAAUGAUGAACGAUGUGUUUAUCUAUUUGCAUUUCCUUAAUAUCUGGAUUAUUAUCUAAUUAUUCUAUAGAA
rnacentral:lncRNA from 1 species